rnacentral:tRNA from 2 species
GGUUCCGUAGCUCAGUUGGUAGAGCAGAGGACUGAAAAUCCUCGUGUCGGUGGUUCGAUUCCGCCCGGAACCACCA